rnacentral:rRNA from 1 species
UACGUAGGGUGCGAGCGUUGUCCGGAAUUAUUGGGCGUAAAGAGCUCGUAGGCGGUCUGUCGCGUCGGUCGUGAAAACUUGGGGCUUAACCCUGACCUUGCGGUCGAUACGGGCAUGACUGGAGUUCGGCAGGGGAGACUGGAAUUCCUGGUGUAGCGGUGAAAUGCGCAGAUAUCAGGAGGAACACCGGUGGCGAAGGCGGGUCUCUGGGCCGAUACUGACGCUGAGGAGCGAAAGCGUGGGGAGCGAACAGG